rnacentral:lncRNA from 1 species
CUAGUUGUUAUCUUAUUUAUGAUUUCAUAAUUCUAAUAGUCCAAAUACUGGUGUAGGUAGGAUCUACUAAUCUCAGUACCAUUGGAUAGGGUGUUGGGUGUGGUGCAAUGAAAUUUUUUCAAGCAUGUUUAUUUUGUUUAUUGUAUCUUAAAGCUUUGAUCUGUUUUUGUUUUAAUAAAUUCCUGUACACAUCCGUUGAGGGACAAGGGUCUGUUAAGGAUUUUUAGUUAAUGAUAUUUUAGACUAGUGUGAAUUCCAAGACUCCAAGUUAGGUUGCAAAAUGCCUGUCUUUACAUCUAAUUGAGCUGGUUUGACUACACUUGUAGGGAUUUUGUUAACAAAUACUUCUAUUGCGAAUGAAUUGUGCUAGCAAAAAUAUCUGUUUUUACCACUAUCAUUUUUGUUGUUUAUAGGACAUGGAUAUGACUAUAUAUAAGUAGUUAAUCUUCUGAUAGCUACAUAUUUGACAUGCUCUAUUAGUGUAAUUAAAAAAGAAAAAAAGAAAAGAAAAGAAAAAGGAAUCGUUGUUAUGAUAGAAAGAAAGAGAAUAUUUGAGAAACAAAAAUAUCACUAGAAUGGCAUAAUACAUAUAUCAGCCCCCUUCCUAUACAUACCACACGCAUGCGGGUUAAAAAAAAUUUCCUACGUGGACAUGUGUUGUUGAAAAAGUAUCCCAACAAAAAGUAACUUUUAUCCUGCAAACAAACAAUUCACCAAACACUUCGUCUCUCACCACCCUAAUUAAUAUCCACUCUUGCCAAACAAAAAAGAACGUACUUUAUCGUGACAAUCACCCAACACUUCUUCUCUUACCACCCCAAUUAAUAUCCAUACUUGUCAAACAAAAAGUAACCUACCAUCCAAAUAAAAAGUACUCAAUUUGUACUUGCAGACUUCAAUCUCUAUUUGUCAAUUUAUAAAUUUGAUAUGAAUAUUAUUAUGUGCAUCAAAAAAUUACACUAAAAAUACACCAAUAAUAUGACACUACAAUAAAAAGGUAAAAUGCAAAUGUGACCACUGAACUUUAGUUGUUUUUGGGUAUUGAGUCAUUUUCUUUUGGUUAACGCAAAUUGAGCCCCUUUCUGUUCGAAAAUUUGGAUAUUGAGCCCCCAGGUGCUACAUGUGCGUUGACUUGCCUACGUUGUAUACGUGGUGGCACAUGUGGCACCGCUUACUUGUACUUUUCCAAAAUUAAUUCCUAAAAACAUGUUGCUUCCCAUAAUUAAACCCAAGACCUCUAGAUUAAAAUUUUGGCCAUUAGACCACCUGAGCACAAUUGGCUUGACUGUUAAAUUGUCCAAAGAAUUAAGUUUUGUA